GAUGAACGCUAGCGGCAGGCCUAACACAUGCAAGUCGAGGGGGAGGUUACUUUCGGGUAACUGAGACCGGCGUACGGGUGCGUAACGCGUAUACAAUCUGCCUUUCACUGGGUGAUAGCCCGAAGAAAUUUGGAUUAAUACCCCAUAGUAUAGUAAUACGGCAUCGUGAUGCUAUUAAAGCUUAGGUGGUGAAAGAUGAGUAUGCGUUCUAUUAGCUAGUUGGAGAGGUAACGGCUCCCCAAGGCGAUGAUAGAUAGGGGUUCUGAGAGGGAUGUCCCCCACACUGGUACUGAGAUACGGACCAGACUCCUACGGGAGGCAGCAGUGAGGAAUAUUGGACAAUGGUCGGAAGACUGAUCCAGCCAUGCCGCGUGCAGGAUGAAGGUCUUAUGGAUUGUAAACUGCUUUUGUAAGGGAAGAAUAAGGGCUACGCGUAGUUUGAUGACGGUACCUUACGAAUAAGCAUCGGCUAACUCCGUG
rnacentral:rRNA from 1 species